rnacentral:rRNA from 1 species
AGUGAACGCUGGCGGUAGGCCUAACACAUGCAAGUCGAACGGCAGCACAGUAAGAGCUUGCUCUUACGGGUGGCGAGUGGCGGACGGGUGAGGAAUACAUCGGAAUCUACUUUUUCGUGGGGGAUAACGUAGGUAAACUUACGCUAAUACAGCAUACGACCUACGGGUGAAAGCAGGGGAUCUUCUGACCUUGCGCGAUUGAAUGCGCCGAUGUCGGAUUAGCUAGUUGGCGGGGUAAAGGCCCACCAAGGCGACGAUCCGUAGCUGGUCUGAGAGGAUGAUCAGCCACACUGGAACUGAGACACGGUCCAGACUCCUGAGGGAGGCAGCAGUGGGGAAUAUUGGACAAAGGGCGCAAGCCUGAUCCAGCCAUACCGCGUGGGUGAAGAAGGCCUUCGGGUUGUAAAGCCCUUUUGUUGGGAAAGAAAAGCAGCAGGUUAAUACCCCGCUGUUCUGACGGUACCCAAAGAAUAAGCACCGGCUAACUUCGUG